GAUGAACGCUGGCGGCGUGCUUAACACAUGCAAGUCGAGCGAGAAGUUUUGAAAAGAUUCUUCGGAUGAAAUUUAAAAUGGAAAGCGGCGGACGGGUGAGUAACGCGUAGGCAACCUGCCCCAUACAAAGGGAUAGCAUUUGGAAACGAAUAUUAAUACCUUAUGAAACUUAACUAGUGCAUGCUAGGUAGGUCAAAGAUUUAUCGGUAUGGGAUGGACCUGCGUCUGAUUAGCUAGUUGGUGAGGUAACGGCUCACCAAGGCGACGAUCAGUAGCCGACCUGAGAGGGUGAACGGCCACAUUGGAACUGAGACACGGUCCAAACUCCUACGGGAGGCAGCAGUGGGGAAUAUUGCACAAUGGGGGAAACCCUGAUGCAGCAACGCCGCGUGAACGAUGAAGGCCUUUGGGUCGUAAAGUUCUGUUCUAGGUGAUGAAAACUGACAGUAACCUAGGAGAAAGCCCCGGCUAACUCCGUG
rnacentral:rRNA from 1 species